UGAGUCUGAGCAUUGAUGGGAAUCUGCUGCAGAAGUGAUGGCGAAUGCAGGAUGUAAUAGUGCAAUGAACAGUAACUCCGGUGUGAGGACAGCACAACCUCCAAUCGUGAUGUUCAUUUGAGUAUCUACAAGGUGAAGAAAAGCCAUCUCUCAGUGAGAUCUCUCCACCACUGCCAACCAGCUCUUCCAGGCUGUGUAGUCUGGCACAGAAAGAGACAAAGCCACACUGAGUCAUUUACAAAAACAAGGCACCGCCCAUUAUUUUAGCAGCCUGGAGUGGACUACUGCUGGGAGAUCUCAAGUGCCAAACAAUAAAUGAAUCCUCUCCGUUUAAUCGUCACCCCUGCCAAUGAGAUGGGAGCUUUUGGAUGGUGAUUUCAUUAAAAAUCUGAUGGACUUCGAUCAGAACAGACAACAUUGCUGUAGCAACCGAAGUACGAAACACUAAUAACUGGGCUGACUGGACAGAUGGAAACAUUCAGUGGCCACCAUGAUGUACAGAAGGCAACCAAAUCCAGAGGAAAGUCUUGUGCCUCUGUACUCAACCAGCUCAUGCUGCACGAUGCCCAGUAGAGAGCACAAAAAGGAAUGGCAGGCCACAGCUCCCAGUUUGUUGAAAUGACGAAACUCUGCGCAUCAGCCUGACACGGCUUCUUUCUCCUGGAGAGGAUUCAUUUGCUGUAUUGACAAAGUUAGCAGGUAUGUGGAAGGGGAAG